CCGGGUCAAAAAGAUGCAUCAGCUGGAGGGGGGAGAUCUUUUUUUUUUUCGGUCAGGUCAAAAUCAAAUGGCCUGGCUGGCCGGCGAGAUCUCAAAGCGAUCGGAGGCCUUGAUGCUGCAUGCCUGCGGUCUCCUCGCCUCGCCUUUUGGCCUUUUGGGUCCUGUAGUAUAUGUAUUAUGAUGAUGAUGCUCUGGUGCAGGCUCGACACGGCAUGCAUGCGCUAUCUAUGCAUCAAAGGCGCCCUUUUGGGAGAACAAUAUCAACAGAAAGCUCUAAACCGCCGCUUUUUCUCUCUUUUUGCACACGUCAUCAAUCAUGAUUGAUAUAGUGACUUGCUUUCUAGCUAGGCCUCCUUUGACCCUAAAACAAAACAAACAAAAAAUAGAUCGAUGCGUCGUCUCAUAAGUGUUCGACUUUGAUCCAGAAUAUAUAUACAAAUCGUUCGGAUGCCUUGUCACUACCAAAAUGGUGGAGUUCUCCUAGUGUUUUAGUUAGUAAUAAAACACUACCACUAGUCAAACACUAGGAAAUCUUCACUAGGAGGCAUUUACUAGGGAAAGUUUAUACUAAAUUUUAAAUACUAAAACACUAGGAGAACCCCACGUUACUAGGAGAAAUUGAAAAUUCUGGUUGUGUGUAGUAGUAUGUACUUUUUUUUAUUUGAUUUGAGAUGAAUUCUGCUGGGAAACCCUAUUCUUGUGUGUUUUUCUGUUAUUGUGGAUUGAGAAUUUUUGCUUAUCAUCAAACACGCCCGUAGUUUGCUAUAUAUGACCAAAUCCUACUGAUUUAUUUAAAGGGCAACUGAUAUCGAUCGGCCUUGCAAAAUGCAAAAGUUUCACUAACUCGAUUCUGAAAGGUGAGGUAAGAUAUUUCUCUUUUCUUUUUCUUUUUCUUUUUCUUUUGCAAAAAUAAUAAAAAGGCGCACCAACUGGUCACACCCAUCGAUUUUGUAUCGCUCAAGCGCACAGCGUGGACUGUAUGAAUGUUCGUUCAGUCAAUGUCAGCACUAGCACAUUUAGGAACCUGACUACUCCUAUAUUUUUCCCCUCCUCACCUUAAUUCCACAACAAUGCUCCUGAUGACCACAAAUACUCAUUUUCUUGACCACGUCAACGUCGUAGCAGUGUCUGCGUAACUUUUUUUUUGCUCCGUUUGGUUAAUGAUGUUAAACUUUAGCAUUUUUUUAUCACAUUGAAUGUUUGAUACAUACAUAAAGUAUUAAAUAUAGAAUUUUUUAUGAAAUUAACAAUAUAGCUAGAGACUAAUUUGUGAGACGAUUUUUUAAGUCUAAUUAGUCCAUGAUUAGAUAUUAGUUGCUACAAUACACAUAUGUACUAAUGAUGGAUUAAUUAGGCUUAAUAAAUUUGUCUCGCGGAGUACUGACGCAAUCUGCAAUUUGUUUUUCUAUUCGAGAGAUUUUAAGACUGAUGAAGUGAUCAUAGAUGUCUCGCUAUCGAUGAGCAUGUCACCUGCAAUAAAAAGAGUAACAUCGUUAAACCCAAAAAUGCAACCACCUACAUUAAGAUGAGGACGUCAACUUUGAUAGACAUGUUUCAUCAUAAUAAAACUAAUCCGUUAAGAAGAUAUCCUCAGUUCGCAC
rnacentral:lncRNA from 1 species